GAUGAAGAACGCAGCGAAAUGCGAUAAGUAAUGUGAAUUGCAGAAUUCAGUGAAUCAUCGAAUCUUUGAACGCACAUUGCGCCCGCCAGUAUUCUGGCGGGCAUGCCUGUUCGAGCGUCAUUUGUACCUUCAAGCUUUGCUUGGUGUUGGGUGUUUGUCCUUUCUCUUGCAGAGGGACUCGCCUUAAAGUAAUUGGCAGCCAGUGUUUUGGUUUUGAAGCGCAGCACAAGUCGCGAUUCAAAGCUAUACGCCAGCUUCCACAAGCCUUUUUCACUUUUGACCUCGGAUCAGGUAGGGAUACCCGCUGAACUUAAGCAUAUCAAUAAGCGGAGGA
rnacentral:misc_RNA from 1 species